UAGGGAAUCUUCGGCAAUGGACGAAAGUCUGACCGAGCAACGCCGCGUGAGUGAAGAAGGUUUUCGGAUCGUAAAACUCUGUUGUUAGAGAAGAACAAGGACGUUAGUAACUGAACGUCCCCUGACGGUAUCUAACCAGAAAGCCACGGCUAACUACGUGCCAGCAGCCGCGGUAAUACGUAGGUGGCAAGCGUUGUCCGGAUUUAUUGGGCGUAAAGCGAGCGCAGGCGGUUUCUUAAGUCUGAUGUGAAAGCCCCCGGCUCAACCGGGGAGGGUCAUUGGAAACUGGGAGACUUGAGUGCAGAAGAGGAGAGUGGAAUUCCAUGUGUAGCGGUGAAAUGCGUAGAUAUAUGGAGGAACACCAGUGGCGAAGGCGGCUCUCUGGUCUGUAACUGACGCUGAGGCUAGAAAGCGUGAGGAGCAAACAGG
rnacentral:rRNA from 1 species